rnacentral:rRNA from 1 species
AACGAACGCUGGCGGCAUGCCUAACACAUGCAAGUCGAACGAGACCUUCGGGUCUAGUGGCGCACGGGUACGUAACGCGUGGGAACCUGCCCUUAGGUUCGGAAUAACUCCCCGAAAGGGGUGCUAAUACCGGAUAAUGUCUUCGGACCAAAGAUUUAUCGCCUUUGGAUGGGCCCGCGUUGGAUUAGCUAGUUGGUAGGGUAAAAGCCUACCAAGGUGACGAUCCAUAGCUGGUCUGAGAGGAUGAUCAGCCACACUGGGACUGAGACACGGCCCAGACUCCUACGGGAGGCAGCAGUGGGGAAUAUUGGACAAUGGGCGAAAGCCUGAUCCAGCAAUGCCGCGUGAGUGAUGAAGGCCUUAGGGUUGUAAAGCUCUUUUACCCGGGAUGAUAAUGACAGUACCGGGAGAAUAAGCUCCGGCUAACUCCGUG